GACGUAGGGUCCGAGCGUUUGUCCGGAGUUACUGGGCGUAAAGGGCGCGUAGGCGGCUUUGUGCGUCACCCGUGAAAGCCCCCGGCUCAACCGGGGGAGGGUCGGGUGAAACGGCGGAGCUGGAGGCAGCGAGAGGCUGGUGGAAUUCCCGGAGUAGUGGUGAAAUGCGUAGAGAUCGGGAGGAACACCGGUGGCGAAGGCGGCCAGCUGGCGCUGACCUGACGCUGAGGCGGCGAAGGCGGUGGGGAGCGAACGGG
rnacentral:rRNA from 1 species